UACGUAGGUGGCGAGCGUUGUCCGGAUUUAUUGGGCGUAAAGCGCGCGUAGGUGGCUUCGUAAGUCCGUUGUGAAAGUCAAAGGCUCAACCUUUGAAUGCCGAUGGAUACUGCGGAGCUAGAGUACGGAAGAGGCGAGUGGAAUUCCUGGUGUAGCGGUGGAAUGCGCAGAUAUCAGGAGGAACACCGAUGGCGAAGGCAGCUCGCUGGGACGGUACUGACGCUGAGGCGCGAAAGCGUGGGGAGCGAACAGG
rnacentral:rRNA from 1 species